rnacentral:rRNA from 1 species
UGGGGAAUUUUGGACAAUGGGCGCAAGCCUGAUCCAGCCAUGCCGCGUGAGUGACGAAGGCCUUAGGGUUGUAAAACUCUUUCGUCGGGGACGAUAAUGACGGUACCCGAAGAAGAAGCUCCGGCUAACUUCGUGCCAGCAGCCGCGGUAAUACGAAGGGAGCUAGCGUUGUUCGGAUUUAUUGGGCGUAAAGAGUUCGUAGGCUGUUUGUUAAGUCUGAUGUUAAAGACUGGGGCUCAACCUCGGAAAUGCAUUGGAUACUGGCAGACUGGAGUGCAGUAGAGGCUAGUGGAAUUCCCAGUGUAGCGGUGAAAUGCGUAGAUAUUGGGAAGAACACCGGUGGCGUAGGCGACUAGCUGGGCUGUAACUGACGCUGAGGAACGAAAGCCAGGGGAGCGAAUGGGAUUAGAUACCCAGGUAGUCCCUGAGCGGGCUGGCAAGGCGCAU